rnacentral:tRNA from 1 species
CAGGGAGACAACAAAAUGUUUAAUAUUAUUAUUUUGUCACCUUAGGUCGAUCGGUAUCUCACGUUUUUAAUUUAUUAAGAAUUUCAUUUCCUAAGUUUUUUCUAGGUCACACCCAUUAUUUUUCCUGGGCCAUUAGCUCAGGUGGUUAGAGCGCACCCCUGAUAAGGGUGAGGUCCCUGGUUCAAGUCCAGGAUGGCCCAUAUCUCUAUGUUGGGGGUAUAGCUCAGUUGGUAGAGCGCCUGCUUUGCAAGCAGGAUGUCAGCGGUUCGAGUCCGCUUACCUCCACUGAUUACCACCUCUUUCAUAACUGGUAAAAAGGAAAUGUUUUGGGUUGUGAUCAAAUUCUGAAAGAAUCUAGCUUCCUAAUGAAAUCAUUAAGAUGCUGGACUCAUUGAAUUUUAUUCAUUGUUUUCAGAGAACCUUGACAACUGCAUAGAUUAUUUUUAAAGACAAUAAGCAUCUUUAAUGAUGCAGAUUUAUUAUUUGUGCUAAUGCAUUAAUAACAAUUCUAUUGAGCUGAUGCUUCAAAAUAUUAUGAAGUUAUU